AAAAUGUCCAUGCACCGUCCAUUCCAUGGUCAGUGUCGUCCCACAUUUUCUGAUUAGUGAAUGCUUAUUUACUCGUAAAGUAAAAUUUAAGAAAACCAUUUUGAAUAAACAAUUAAAUUAUUACGAGUUCGCAACAUAACUUUUUUUUUGAAAUUGUGAUUUUGCAACGAAGCAACAAAGUGAAAAGGCACGGUCGCUGGUCUUUUUUCAUCACACGACGUUUUACCAUGGGUGACAAACCUAUUUCACAAAUGAACUCGGGGGGUGCGGCCAGAUAAUCACUGGAUACGAUGACCUGACUAUCCGCUAAGAAUUGUACCCAUAUCUUAAGAAACCCGACGUAGAAUUUCGAAAUUCGAUACAAAAGUUUCACUUCAUUUUUUCGACCUGGUGACCUGGAUGACCUGGAUAACUUGGAGGAGUUGCAGUAGUUCGCUUUAAGGGGAUCUGUUACGAGUCCAGCCGUGAAUUCUGUGAAAUGAAAUUUUCUCGAAUAUGCAAAACUGAAGAAUGUUGCAGAGAAGAACGACGAAUAAGACGCUGUGCCGAUGCCGUCCAGCCUAUACCAACUAGACAUCUUGCUUUAGGAAAACGAGGUCAACCUAACCCAGUCAGUGCUUCCCAAUAUCCAGCAGCUCGAGAAAAUGUAUUCGAAGCCUGCCUAAAGAGAUAUCUUGAAAAUGUCCAAAGAGAGUACGAAAGGAAAGAAUAAGUUUCCAAUUUUAUUUCGGUUUGUAAGUGCAAAAUAAUCGCUUUACAAAAGGGAGUUCCACCGUUUAGUACUUGUAGCUUAUAUUAUGCGAAUCAUGCAAUCCUUUAUGUAGUAAAUUAUCAAAUUAUACUUUGUCAGAAUACAUGUACAUAGGGAUUUUAACUGUUUAAAAAAAUUCUAUUAGUGUUUAUUAAUUAAAUUAUUUAUAUUCCUGCUUGGAAUUGAAACAAACCAAAAGCACAAUUAUUUGAGAGUGUAAUUAUGAUACAUAGUUCAUCAGCAAUUUAAAAAAUAAAUUCAAAAUGAAGUACAAA